rnacentral:rRNA from 1 species
GAUGAACGCUGGCGGCGUGCCUAAUACAUGCAAGUCGAGCGAACAGACGAGGAGCUUGCUCCUCUGACGUUAGCGGCGGACGGGUGAGUAACACGUGGAUAACCUACCUAUAAGACUGGGAUAACUUCGGGAAACCGGAGCUAAUACCGGAUAAUAUAUUGAACCGCAUGGUUCAAUAGUGAAAGACGGUUUUGCUGUCACUUAUAGAUGGAUCCGCGCCGCAUUAGCUAGUUGGUAAGGUAACGGCUUACCAAGGCGACGAUGCGUAGCCGACCUGAGAGGAUGAUCGGCCACACUGGAACUGAGACACGGUCCAGACUCCUACGGGAGGCAGCAGUAGGGAAUCUUCCGCAAUGGGCGAAAGCCUGACGGAGCAACGCCGCGUGAGUGAUGAAGGUCUUCGGAUCGUAAAACUCUGUUAUUAGAGAAGAACAAAUGUGUAAGUAACUAUGCACGUCUUGACGGUACCUAAUCAGAAAGCCACGGCUAACUACGUG